rnacentral:lncRNA from 1 species
CAUUCCAAGCACCGGGCAAGUCUGACUGUGAGGUCAGGCUUUUACCGUGUUUUCUCGCCUCUAUUCUCUCCUGCGAGCAAGGGCUGGUUUUAGCUCCUCUUGUUUCGCAAAGUUAGUGUUCAGACCGCCAGCUGACUCCUGGGAAGAAGCAUUAAUGGAAUUUCCUCCAGUAUUUUCAUAGCAACCUUCAGAUGAAAGUGUAGAACUCUCAGCUCCUCCUGCAUCAUGACUGCCUGGGGCUGCCAUGUUCCUGCCUUGAUGAUAAUGGACUGAACCUCUAAACCUGACUGGUUGUUCUAUUUCUGAGAUCUCUGAGACCCAGCCCACCAGGAACACACAAAUGUGGAACCGAGAUAGGCUGAGGACUUAUUAAACAGAAUUCUGCUGUUCCUAUCCCAGGGUUGGACCAAUGUGUAGAAAAUUGCUUAUGGGAUUCUUUGAAUGACUUUUUCAUUGCGGGAAAUAUUAAAAAUGAACCUGCCAACCUUCCACACUCCUGCUUCUUUCAAGCCACCAACUCAAGAGAUCUGUCUCUGCCUCCUACGUGCUGGAAUCAAAGGAAGAUCCAUCUUUAAUAUGGGCCACACCUUCUUCUAGCAGCCUUAUAAAGGACAUGAAAAAAGAAUGCUUGCUUGCUCUUGCUCUUCCUAGAAAUUACUUCACUGCCAUUAGAGCCUACUUCUUCAGGAUUCUGCUUAUACUGAAAACCAUGUGGGACAUCCAGCCUUGUGGACUGAACAACUUCUGGCUUCUUGGACCUUUCACUGUUAGUCAGCCAUUGUUGGACCACAGCCUAUAAGUCGUUCUAAUAAAUCUCCUACAUAUAGAUUCA